rnacentral:rRNA from 1 species
AUACGGAGGGUGCAAGCGUCAAUCGGAAUUACUGGGCGUAAAGCGCGCGUAGGCGGAUAUUUAAGUCUCAUGUGAAAGCCCUGGGCUCAACCUGGGAACUGCAUGGGAUACUGGGUAUCUAGAAUACAGUAGAGGGUAGUGGAAUUUCAGGUGUAGCGGUGAAAUGCGUAGAGAUCUGAAGGAACAUCAGUGGCGAAGGCGACUACCUGGACUGAUAUUGACGCUGAGGUGCGAAAGCGUGGGGAGCAAACGGGAUUAGAUACCCUAGUAGUCC